GAUGAACGCUGGCGGCGUGCCUAAUACAUGCAAGUCGAGCGAACCGGGGAGGGGUGAGUAACACGUGGAUAACCUACUAUAAGACUGGGAUAACUUCGGGAAACCGGAGCUAAACCGUAUCCUUAUAGCUGGAUUCUCGCUGAAUUAGCUAGUUGGUAAGGUAACGGCUUACCACGGCAACGAUUCAUAGCCGACCUGAGAGGGUGAGCGGCCAAACUGGAACUGAGCCACGGCCCAGACUCCUACGGGAGGCAGCAGUAGGGAAUCUUCCACAAUGGGCGAAAGCCUGACGCAGAAACGCCGCGUGAGUGAUGAAGGUCUUCGGAUCGUAAAACACUGUUAUUAGGGAAGCGGUACCUAAUCAGAAAGCCACGGCUAACUACGUGCCAGCAGCCGCGGUAAUUC
rnacentral:rRNA from 1 species